CCUACGGGAGGCAGCAGUGAGGAAUAUUGGUCAAUGGACGCAAGCCUGAACCAGCCAUGCCGCGUGCAGGAAGACGGCUCUACGAGUUGUAAACUGCUUUUGUACGAGGGUAAAUCCCGAUACGUGUAUCGGGUUGAAAGUAUCGUACGAAUAAGGAUCGGCUAACUCCGUGCCAGCAGCCGCGGUAAUACGGAGGAUUCAAGCGUUAUCCGGAUUUAUUGGGUUUAAAGGGUGCGUAGACGGUUCGAUAAGUUAGUGGUGAAAUUCCGGGGCUCAACUCCGGCACUGCCUCUGAUACUGGCGGGCUAGAGUUUAGUUGCGGUAGGCGGAAUGUAUGGUGUAGCGGUGAAAUGCAUAGAGAUCAUACAGAACACCGAUUGCGAAGGCAGCUUACCAAACUACGACUGACGUUGAGGCACGAAAGCGUGGGGAGCAAACAGGAUUAGAUACCCGAGUAGUC
rnacentral:rRNA from 1 species